AUUGAACGCUGGCGGCAGGCCUAACACAUGCAAGUCGAACGAGUGGCGGACGGGUGAGUAAUGUCUGUGACACUGCCUGAUGGAGGGGGAUAACUACUGGAAACGGUAGCUAAUACCGCAUACCAUCGGAUGUGCCCAGAUGGGAUUAGCUAGUAGGUGGGGUAAAGGCUCACCUAGGCGACGAGCCCUAGCGGGUCUGAGAGGAGGACCAGCCACACGGGAACGGAGACACGGCCCAGAUCCCUAGGGGAGGCAGAAGUGGGAAAUAUUGGACAAGGGGCGCAAGCUGGAUGCAGCCAGGCCGCGUGUAUGAAGAAGGCCUUCGGGUUGUAAAGUACGUUCAGCGGGGAGGCGGUACCCGCAGAAGAAGCACCGGCUAACUCCGUGCCAGCAGCCGCGGUAAUUC
rnacentral:rRNA from 1 species